UUCCUAUCACACCACUUCCCACGCAGAAAAAAACCACCCCUGCACAAAAAACUCUCCUCUCCACCCCAUCUCCGAUCUCCCUGCCGCCGACUCUUCGUAGCCGCCGCCCACGUGCGAACUCGUUCGUUGCCGCCGCCGCCGUCCGAGGGGAGACGCCGCCGUCGCGUCUCCAGGCAGGGCGGCUUGAAUCCCUGUCGCCGGGAUCGCCCCGCCGAACUCCGGGCCAUGGCGAGAUCCAGCAGGCCAUGGCGGCGACCAGCGCCGGGAUAGGACCAGGAGGCCGCCGGCGUCUCCCUGAUCCGUGACCCCGACGCCAUGGAGCUGCUCGUCAAGGCACGCAGGCACGCGCGGGUCCAGCGGCAGGAAGGGCACAGAGGAGGACCGAGCUCGCCGGUGCGCGUGGCCAAGGGAUGUAGCUGCCCGGAGCUACUUCGCCCUCGACGAAGAGGAGACCGCGGGCCAGAGCUCCUGGUCUCCCAGGGCCGCCGAGCGCAAGGAACUAUUGCCAUGGCACCUCCUCGCUCGCCCUCGGUGCAGCGGCCGUGUAUAUGGAAUUGUGCCCUGGUGGGGGCUCCGAGGGAGGAAACCGACUAGCACAAGGCGCUACUGCCAUAGCGUCCGGAGGGAGGCAUGACGCGCAGGGCUACAGGGAAUCCGCCGACGGCAUAUGUGGCUUCUCCUACGCCUGAUGGUGCUGUCAUUGCAGCGGCGGCAGCGGAUCUGAGUCCCACCCGUUGGGAUCGAACGACAGAUGGCGUGAGGCAGUUGGAUGCGAGUCCCACUCCCAACCUGAGGGCUCGACCUUCUCGAUUCCUGGCUGCGGCGGGUGUGGAACUCCGAAGUGACGGUGAACUCGCCGGCGUCGCACUGCCCCCACACAAGCGCCAUCAGGUCUGCAAGCUCUGGUCGCUUGUCUUGAUAUCAGCCAUGUAAUCAUAUCUCACUUCAUUGUGCAAUCUUGUUUCUGAUUCUUGGAUCUUGGACAUCUGAAAUUCUUUGUUUGGAAGCAUAUUUUCUCAGAUUGUUUCAUCUUAGUUUAUUGACAACAAAAUUGUUAACCUUUCUUAAUCUUUGGUUGGACCAACUAAUUCACAAGCUUUUAGGUCAGAAUUUUCACGAGUACUCACUUAGGCUAUAGUUUUUCCUUUUCUUUUCUUUAACUCCCAGAAAAACAACAGCGUGCAUUGCAUCAUAUUAACCACUUGAUAUUACAGUGAUCAAUAUAUAGGAAUUUCAAUGCAAGAAACAACUAAUAAGGUUGCUGAAAGGGUUAGGAUUUGAACUUAAGGUUUUUUUCUUGCUUAGCACUUCAGUCUAUUGAAUUAAAUAGUUGCAUAUCUCUUCUGUUAUAAUUGGAUUUUUGCAAAGAUCUUUUCAGACUAAGAGAUCACGGGCUUAUUGGCUUAAGCAAAUGAUCAAAUCCUUGGGCACUGAUAAAAAAUACUGAUGUGUGUGUGUUUGUGUGGUGGCAGCUGGCAUGUGAGUUUGCACUGACACAUCUAAAUAUGUUUUCUUAACAAUUAGUGAUCAGGGCAAUACUGUUUUCUUAACAACUCGUUUGUUGUGCAUGCACACUAAAUAUGUUUGACACAACUGAUGUUAAAUUGUUAGAGUAUUCACGCUCCCGUUGCGACGCACGGGUGAUUACCAGAUGAGUGUGAUACGGUAUAUUUCAAAUUUUUGUGCAGUUGCAUCAGCUACGACUUGUAAGGUAUAACUUUGGGACUGUAUAUAGAGAAAAAAGUGUUUUUUCUGCACUACACACUUAAAUCAUUAUAUUGCUAAUGCAAGUGAACAAUCAGCAUUUCUUAUUGAGCCAUGCUAAUGUUUCUCUUUGUUUAAUUGCGUACUCCUUUUGUUUACUUCUUCAGAAAGCACUUCGCUCUGUUGCACACAAGCAAUAGCUAUUUCUGCACCAAUCUGUCCGAAGAUAUAAAGUUUGAACCAGCCCUUAGCUGCAUUUGGUCAGUUCAUCUUUCAGGAGAAUAUGCAUCUUACUUAGUUCGAGGUGAAAUUUUGUUUGUUGCAUCAGGAAUCAAAAAAAUAUGGUGCCUCCGUAUCUUUAUAUAAAGUCCUUAUUAUAUAUGUUGCUUGCUUCCAUUGAAUUGGAUGUAACAUUGUGUACACUUAAUGUCGAGACUAAUGUGUAUCACCAAUUUCAGUAUAGUCGAAACAUAUUGAUGGCACUGAAAAUGAUUCAGCUUUUGCAGGUGUGACCUGACUCUUCUUUGUACGUAUGUAAUUGGUUUAUUUCUUGAUAGGGUGGUACUCUCUGAAUUUCUUGAUGAGUGUUCCCGUUGCUGCACUGCAUUGUGGCCGAGUCCUCUUCUUGGCCAUGCCAGUGACAUGAGCAGGAUGGUGUAUACCAGCUUCCCAGACAUGUGUCUGUCGAGGACGCACCGGGUUUGUGGAGGUGAUGGCACGAGUAUUUACCAGGAUGCUUGGAGAUGCGUUGGCAUAUGUCUAGAACAACCUGGUCCACGCAUGGGGUCUGACUUGAAUAUUUCAGGAGAUGACUAGAUGUAAAUCUGACUUUCAGAUAAUACAUCUGUGAAUUGCGCAGAAUCAUAUAGAGCAGAUGGGCAUCGUUGACACGUAGUGCAUGACACAUUGCACGAUUAACAUGCUCUUAGGCCAGCUAAGUAACAUAAGACAACUUUUGUAUGAAGAUCGGUUGUUCGGUUUCAUUCUGACAGUUUAGAAGCUUUUGUUUGGCGUUUCUCUCAGCCGGAUAAUAGAGAAAAAGAGACUUACGCAGGGUAUGUUUUCUCUCUCUAACAAUAAUUAAAUUUUGUACUACUUAGAAAACUCGUUAGAUGUUCUUACUGCUUGAUCUCACAUCAUAUUUACGUGCUAAGAAAUGAGUUGUAACUGAAACAAUAAUGUUAAUUUAUGUAGAUAUAUACUGUGUUGGAUAUUAGUUUUUUAUAAAAUUAAUUCCGUGUUCAAUUGGUUUUUCUUUUUGUGUGUCAAGAAUUUUUUUUACAAUCUGUAACAUGAGUAAUUUAUUUGACAUACAUAAAUAUAUACUCCCUCCGUUCCUAAAUAUUUGUCUUUCUAGACAUUUCAAAUGACUACUACAUACGGAUGUAUGUAGACAUAUUUUAGAGUGUAGAUUCACUCAUUUUGCUCCGUAUGUAGUCAUUUGUUGAAAUGCCUAGAAAGACAAGUAUUUAGGAACGGAGGGAGUAUAUUUUUGUAUACGUGGAAUAUAUUACAAGAUCCAUCAUAAAAUUGAAACAGCAUCAAGGCUCUUUGAAGUCAUAAUAUCCAGCUUCACCUUCAAAUGUCGACGUUCUACCAUGAUUGUGCAAUAUAUUUCAAGGCCCAUGAUAAAACUGAAAGAGCAUCAAGGGUUUUACAGGUCAUGGUGGCUGGGUUUUGCUGGCGUUGUGGUCCAUGCAUACCAAUUCUUUGAAUCAGUGCCACCGUGCAGUGAUGUAAGAAAAAAGUGUGUCGUUUGUCGACUGUGGGCAAUGGGUGAUGUAGAUGUACUGUAGAGUACAUAUUCAAGGGAACUGUGAGGUGACUUAGAUAGCUGUAAUGAGCUGAUGGAGCCUUUGACCUGAAGUUAUAUUUGUAUAGAUUACAUGAUUUGUUGAUGAGGAUAAGAAAGAGGAGCUGAUGGCAAACAAACCGAGGAAAGUCACCGAAGAUUGAGGUUGGGUGCGAUGCCACAUCAGAAGGUAUUUAGGCUAUGGGUGAGUUAGGGGCCAUGGAGCGAGCCGAUAGGAGGGUCGAGUAUGGUGCAUACAUGUCAACGUUGGUAGUCAGAACUUGAUGCUGAGUGCGGAUGGGAAUGAUGGGGUGAGGAUGGGCAUGCUUUAGUCCAGCAAUUUAUCAUUGCCAAAUGGUUCAAUCCCGGUGAUGUCAUUGCUGGAUAUGCAAGGUCUCAUUGGGCAAGGUAUUCGAAGUUCUUAAGUGCCUAGGAACCUCGCUGUGCUUUUGUAUUGACGUGAUUAGCAAGUGUAUUUACCGAAGCAUAGAUGUAAUGUGGGUUAUGUGUAGCACCGAAUCUGAGAUGGCUGCAAUCUAGUCGGUUCUGGCAUUGGAGAGUUAAGAGUGAAUCAGACUUAAUCAGAUGGCAUCAACACUGUUAAUCAUUGGAAGGUCUGCCGAGCGUUUGAGACGAGAAGCAUGGUGCCAAUACAUACUUUUGGUUCUUAACCCAGAUGAUCUCAUUUAAAGUUGUUGGCGUUUGUUAUAAUCAUUCUUGAUGAGCUGCACAACGCUUCAUGUAUUGCACUACUAAUGUGUUUAUUUGGUGGUCAAACUCCUGUUCCACUCCUAUAUAGAUGCUAUGAAAAUAAUUUGUUUUGUUUA